GGACUACCAGGGUAUCUAAUCCGGUUCGCUCCCCACGCUGUCGCGCCUCAGCGUCAGGGUCCCCCCAGCCGGCCGCCUUCGCCACAGGUGUUCCUCCCGAUCUCUACGCAUUUCACCACUACACCGGGAAUUCCACCGGCCUCUAGGGCCCUCCAGCCACCCAGUCUCCGCCGCCCCCUCCCAGUUGAGCCGGGAGAUUUCACAGCAGACUUAAGCGGCCGCCUGCGCGCGCUUUACGCCCAAUAAAUCCGGACAACGCUCGCCACCUACGUAUUACCGCGGCUGCUGGCAC
rnacentral:rRNA from 1 species